CUCAUGGACAGCGGAGGCUAAAAGUGUUGAGCAUUCAAAUCAAAUCAGAUCAUUUUAAUUCAAGUAAAACAGUUACAGACGUUCCAAUAGCUGACCAACAUAAAAAAAAUCCAGGCUGUAUGUUUGAAGUUGGUUGAUGGGAGAAGACAGGACAGGACCCUCUGCACUAGUUAAUCUUUCAGACUCAUAAUGUCUGUGACGUAACUCGGGAAGGCCACAGUGCAACGACGCUACCGCCGCUGAAUAAAAGCGAUCAGAAUGAACCUGGCUGCAGAUCUCAUCACUUCUCCUCCCGUCUGAGACCGGCACAGAAUAAAAAUGAAGGAAUUUUCAUCUAAUUCGAGAGACAAAGGUAUCGAAGGAGUUUCUUAUAGGCAGAGACAAGGCAGUUCCGAUUGGAGAAGCGAGCCGUCCGUAGCCAUGAAUUCAUUUCCCGAAGCCCAGACGGUUCCAGACUACAGAGAACCGGAACCUCCACUCAAACACGCAAACAAAUACCACAACAGCAUGAAGACGCUGAUUCCCCUCCGCUUCAGCUCAGGGUCUCACCCCAUGGAUGAUGCAGGAUUCUUCUCCUUCAGCUCGUUUGUAUGGAUGACGCCCAUGAUGUGGAAGCUGUUCAGGAACCGCCUGGAUAAAAGCUCGCUCAACCUGUCUCCUCACGACGGAUCACACACGAGCGGAGAAAGGUUCCGAAAGAUGUGGGAAGAAGAGGUGGCGCGCGUUGGCAUCGAGAAAGCCUCUCUGUUUUCAGUAGUGAUGCGAUUUCAGAGAACGAGAUUCAUGGUGUCUGUUUUGCUCUCCAUGCUCUUCAUUUUUGCAGUCUUUAUUGGACCGUCAAUUGUGAUGAACCAGAUCCUGCUGUACGCAGCAGAGCCUGAAGCGUCCACCCUGGUGCACGGCGUCGGCCUGUGUGCGGCUCUGUUCGUCACGGAGUUUUCCAAGGCGUUCUUCGCGUCGUUGCUCUGGGCCGUGAACCUGCGCACCGCCAUCCGAUUGAAAGGAGCCUUCAGCGUGCUCGCCUUCCAAAAAAUCAUCUCACUCCGAGCGCUCAGCAGCGUCACCGUAGGAGAGCUGGUCAACCUUUUGACGGCUGACGGCUAUCGCAUGUUCGAAGCGGUGCUUUAUGGCGCCUUCAUGCUUUGCAUCCCCAUGUUGUUGAUUAUAUGCAUUAUUUACUCCUGCUACAUCCUGGGCUACACAGCACUUAUAGGAAUCUGUACCUACCUGAUCUUUUUACCUGUACAGUUCUACAUUGGCCUGCUGAUCAGAGUGUUUCGGAAACUGUCCGUGUCUGUCACUGACAGGCGUGUUCGCACCAUGAACGAGGUUCUGACCUGCAUCAAGCUUAUCAAGAUGUACGCAUGGGAGGAGUCUUUUGAGAAGACCAUCACAGAGAUCAGGAAGAACGAGAAGCAGCUGUUGGAGAAGGCAGGAUAUAUUCAGAGCUGGAACUCAUCAUUAACAACAAUCGUUCCGUCUCUAGCCACCAUCCUCACCUUCAUCGCUCACUCGGCGUUCAAAUUUCCUCUGGAACCGUCCACAGCCUACACGAUCAUAGCGGUGUUUAACUCCAUGAGGAUGACGUUGGGUCUGCUGCCUUUCUCCGUUAAAUCGAUGGCUGAAGCUAAAGUGGCUUUGACUCGACUGAAGAGGCUCCUCAUGAUCGAGAAUCCCGAAUCAUAUCUGGUCCAGAACAAAGACCUGGACGCCGCAUUAGUGAUGAACAAAGCUUCGUUUUCCUGGAGCAAUCCCAACCACGCCACCUCAGAGAAGAACGAAAGUCAGGUCACCGCAGCUAACGGGGUAAAAGGAAGUAAAGAGAAGCCUGUGAAAUCCGCUCAGAACGGCGUGCACACAUCAGAGCCCAAACCUACACUUAGGAACAUCACGUUCAACCUGCCCAAGGGGAAUUUGCUCGGGGUUUGCGGCAACGUUGGAAGUGGAAAAACUUCACUGAUAUCAAGCAUUCUCGAACAGAUGCACCUUCUGAGUGGAUCCGUCUCAGCGAACGGAACGUUAGCCUACGUCUCUCAACAAGCCUGGAUCUUUCAUGGAACUGUACGUGAUAAUAUUCUGAUGGGAGAAACUUUUGAUCGAAAGAGGUAUGAUCAUGUCGUCCACGUCUGCAGUCUGAAGCCAGAUCUUGCUAUUCUACCUUAUGGUGAUCAGACUGAGAUCGGAGAGCGUGGUCUGAACCUAUCGGGUGGUCAGAAGCAGAGGGUCAGCCUAGCCAGAGCCAUCUACUCUAACAGGGACAUCUACCUGUUGGACGAUCCUCUGUCUGCAGUUGAUGCCCACGUGGGCAAGCACAUUUUUGAACAAUGCAUCAAAAAAGAGCUGAGGGGCAAGACGGUGAUCCUGGUUACACAUCAGCUACAGUAUCUGGAGUUCUGCGAUGAGAUCCUGCUGCUGGAAAACGGGAAGAUUAAAGAAGCUGGAACACACGGAGCUUUGAUGGAAGCCAGCGGUCGAUACGCUCAUCUCAUCAACAGCUUCCAGCUGAAACAGAGCGAUCACCAGGCGGAGGAGGCACCGAAAAUUCCAGCUGAAUCCAACCGGCACAUCAAGCAGGAGCUGGAAAAGUCGAAAUCCAACGGAGUUGUGAACGCAGCCUUUGACAUGUCUGAUGAGAAGGUUAAACCAGAAAGUGCGUCAGCAGAACCGAAGGAAACGAAAGAGGGAAAAGACCAGCUGGUACAGAAGGAGAUGUCUCAGGAAGGAGCCGUCAAUUUAGGGACCUACCACCAAUACUGUGUUGCUGCUGGAGGCUACUUCCUUUUGUUCUUCAUCCUGUUGAUCUUUUUCCUGUUGGUGGGAUGCACUGCCUUCUGCAACUGGUGGCUCAGUCACUGGCUAGAUCAAGGAUCUGGGCUGUUGAAUGCAUCAUACCCCAACACGGGCAACAUAUCCGACAAUCCUGACCUGUGGUUCUAUCAGAUGAUCUACGGCAUGAUUAUAGUGGUGAUGGUCGUGCUGAGCGCUGUGAAGGGCUUCGCGUUCACUAAAGUCACACUGCACGCCUCGUCCAAACUCCACGACACCAUGUUCAAGAGGAUCCUGGCCAGUCCAAUGAGCUUCUUCGACACGACUCCUACGGGCCGAAUGGUGAACCGCUUCAGCAAAGACCAGGAUGAGAUCGACACCGCGCUGCCCUUCAACAUGGAGAACUUCCUGCAGUUUUGCCUGAUAGUCUUCUUCACUCUCCUGACCGUGUGCAUCGUCUUUCCCUACCUGCUCGUAGUCGUGGUUGUCCUGGGUUUCCUCUUUGCCGCCAUCCUUUAUGUUUUCCAGAGAAGCAUUCGAGAGAUGAAGCGGAUGGAGAACGUGAGUCGCUCUCCCUGCAUCUCGCUCACCACCUCCGUCAUCCAGGGUCUCAGCACCAUCCACGCCUACGACAAGAGAACGCAGUAUAUAGAACAUUUUAAAGCCAUAAGUGACAACAACUCCAAUCACUUCCUGUUGUUUAACUGUGGAACACGUUGGUUGUCUUUCUGGUUGGACUUCUUGUCUGCUUUGGUUGCUCUGACAGUGGCGCUGUUUGUAGCGCUCAGCCCCAACGAUGUUAUUAACCCUGCGCUCAAGGGUCUGGCCCUGUCCUAUACUAUACAGUUGACGGGGAUUCUGCAGUUCGUGGUGAGACUCUCUACAGAAGUGGAUGCCAAGUUCACCUCAGUGGAGAGACUGCAGGAGUACAUCACGGGCUGCGUGUCCGAAGCACCACGCAAAGUGAAAGACGUGAACGUUCCCACUGGCUGGCCACAAGAGGGCGCUAUCACAUUUAAAGACUACAGCAUGAGGUACAGAGAGAACACGCCCAUAGUGCUGGACCGCCUCAGCCUCACAAUCCAACCAAGAGAGAAGCUCGGCAUUGUGGGACGCACAGGCUCAGGUAAAUCGUCUCUGGGCGUGGCCCUGUUUCGCCUGGUGGAGCCGGCGGGUGGCACUAUUCUAAUCGACAGCCUGGACACCAGCACUUUGGGUCUGCAGGACCUGCGCAGCCAGCUGUCCAUCAUCCCCCAGGACCCUGUGCUCUUUAUUGGCACAGUUAGGUAUAAUCUUGACCCGUUUAAUAACUACUCGGAUGAGGAAAUCUGGAUGGCGUUGGAGAAGACGUACAUGAAAGACGCAAUCUCCAGUUUACCUCAGAAGCUGGACUCAGAGGUGGUGGAGAAUGGGGAGAAUUUCUCUGUAGGAGAGAGACAGCUCAUAUGCAUGGCCCGCGCACUGCUCCGUAAUUCCAAAAUCAUCCUGCUGGACGAGGCGACGGCGUCCAUAGACUCGGAGACGGACAGUCUGAUCCAGCACACCAUACGAGACGCCUUCCAGCACUGCACCAUGCUCACCAUAGCGCACCGCAUCAACACCGUGCUGGAAUGCGACCGCAUCCUCGUCAUGGAUAAGGGCAGGGCCGUUGAAUUCGACCGACCUCAGGAUCUCGUACAGAGGCCAGACUCAUUAUUUGCGUCACUACUGACGGCAGCCAACAACGUCAACUCCUGAAACCCGCUGCUCCUGCACUCUGGUUGAACCCCGGUUGCAUCACGUUCCACGCUUCCUGAUGAAACACGCCGUAAACUUCAGCGGGCCCGAGGAGUCCAGACGGCUCGGGGAACGGGAGCCUACAGGAGCCUCGUAGACAGGCGGCGUCCAGCGGCGUCGAUUCGGUUUCAGAUCAGCCCGAUCUGAUUUACAUCUCAUCAGAUACAGAAAUGAGCCGCACAGUCGCAAGAAUUACUGAGAUUUCUGCAUGUGUUACUCAUCCGAGUCAUUAGAACAGAACCACACUGUGUUCUUACAAUAAUAUCCAACAGUUUAGGAACUUACGGAACUUUCUAGGUUGUCUGUGACCGUAUUUUACGAGUGUAUGCAGAAAUCUGAGUAGUUCACACAGUCAGAUGUAUUGUGUGUUUUAAUUAGAACUAACACGUGUAAUUCAUGUCCUGUUCUAUUUUUCUUAAUCUUAGGAUUGCACAUUGUGCUCUAGGUGUGAUCUUUGCAGGACAGAUCAGCAGCAGUACAGAAUAUGUCUCUAUUUGAGGAACACUUGGCUCUUGACAGUAGGGUUGAAAGUUCCUCCAAACCGGACGCUUGGGCGCAAGAAUACACAGGAACUCCGGACAAGGCUGGAGGUAACCAGAUGACCCACAGAAAACCCCAGACAGUGACUGAAGUCGAGAAUCAAACCCAUGUCCUCAGGAGUCAGGUUGCUCUGCAGCACCCACUUCAUUAAUAAUAAAAUAUAAGCACCCUAUCAAGUACUAAAUGUAAGUGUAUGUAAUAAUCUAGACCAGCAGUGUGAAACUCCAGUCCUAAUGUGUCCGGCUUCUGCAGUCAUCAUUAUUUUAAUCAUCUGGUGCGACUUUCUAACUUCUUAUAUCUUCAAAAAAACACACAAGCUUUCUAAAAUCACACGCAGCAUUUCCAGAAAAGUAUGUGAACCCUUUUUUUGUUUUAAUUUGGAGGGUUUUUUGGCUCGCACGAUGCAUUUUUACACCAGCCUGCAGCGGAUUCCUUCAGUGCACCUCGCUCUGCAUUCUUUAAUAUUCGUUUGAAAAAUUUCUUCAUGUAGGUCUGAAUGUGUUGUUCUUUUGAUGACCAGAAGCUGUCGAAAGCCCUGAGGCAUGAUGCUCCCUCCACCGUGCUUCACAGCUGGGAAAAUUGUUCUAUUGACUUGACUUUUUGGCUUUUGUGUCAUAUGUCUAUUAUUAGAAAGCAGUGGUUCUCUCUUCAAUAAACACAAUUUUGUCUGUUUAA